GAUGAACGCUGGCGGCGUGCUUAACACAUGCAAGUCGAGCGAGUGAGUUCUUCGGAACGAUCUAGCGGCGGACGGGUGAGUAACACGUGGGCAACCUGCCUCAUAGAGGGGAAUAGCCUCCCGAAAGGGAGAUUAAUACCGCAUAAAAUUAUCGAGUGGCAUCACAUGAUAGUCAAAGGAGUAAUCCGCUAUGAGAUGGGCCCGCGGCGCAUUAGCUAGUUGGUGAGGUAACGGCUCACCAAGGCGACGAUGCGUAGCCGACCGGAGAGGGUGAUCGGCCACAUGGGGACGGAGACACGGCCCAGACUCCUACGGGAGGCAGCAGUGGGGAAUAUUGCACAAUGGGGAAACCCUGAUGCAUCAACGCCGCGUGAGUGAUGAAGGUCUUCGGAUUGUAAAGCUCUGUCUUUGGGGACGAUAAUGACGGUACCCAAGGAGGAAGCCACGGCUAACUACGUGCCAGCCGCCGCGGUAA
rnacentral:rRNA from 1 species